rnacentral:rRNA from 1 species
UACAGAGGUGCCAAGCGUUGUUCGGAUUUAUUGGGCGUAAAGGGCGCGUAGGCGGUCGUGCGCGUCGGAGGUGAAAUCCCCGGGCUUAACCCGGGAGCUGCCUCCGAUACGGCAUGGCUUGAGUCCGGGAGAGGGGAGCAGAAUUCCCAGUGUAGCGGUGAAAUGCGUAGAUAUUGGGAGGAAUACCGGUGGCGAAGGCGGCUCCCUGGACCGGUACUGACGCUGAGGCGCGAAAGCGUGGGUAGCAAACAGG